AAUCCUAUAGGAUCCUAUAGGAAUUCCUAUAGGAAAUGCAAUUUCCUAUAGGAAUUCCUAUAGGAUCCUAUAGGAAUA
rnacentral:miRNA from 1 species